UUGACAACUAACAUUUGGGUUGCUAAAGCAACAUGUGCUAGUUACAUGGUCAUAACUGCACACUUCAUUGAUGUAUCUUGGCGUUUGAGGAAGCUGAUUAUUGGGUUUAAGUAUAUUACAGAUCACAAAGGAGCAACAAUAUCAUGAGUUCUGCUUGACUGUUUGGCUGAGUGGGGCAUAGAGAAGCUUUUAACUGUGACAGUUGACAAUGCAACUGCAAAUACCUCUGCUUUGAAAAAAUUUCAGGAGGCAUUCAGCUUAAGGAACAGUGAAGCAUUUGUUUUAAAUGGAGAGUGUAUGCAUAUGAGGUGUUGUGCGCACAUACUCAAUUUGAUUGUUAGGGACGGGUUGCAUGAAUUGAGUGAGAAUGUGGCAGCCAUACGAAAUGUAGUUCAGUAGGUGAGGUCUUCUACUUCAAGAUGUGAUUCAUUUGAGCAAAAAGUUGUCUCAGGGAAGAUGACUAGAGGGAGUCUACCGUUGGACAUCAAAACAAGGUGGAAUUCUACUUACUUAAUGUUGUCAAGAGCUAUUGAUUUUAGAUUGGCAUUCGAUAGAAUGGAAGCAGAAGACAAGAUGUACAAUGACUACUUUAAUGAGGUUGAGAAUGGGAAAAAAAGAUUGGGCCACCUACAAGAGCUGAUUGGAAUGCCGUAGAAAGGUUAGUGAGAUUUCUAAGUAUAUUCUACAAUUCUACUUUGGUUGUGUCUGCUUCAACUUCAGUUGCUUGUUAUAAGUGUUAUGGAGAGAUAGUGACUAUAGAGAGGAAUUUGAUGACACUAAGCAAUAGUAUUGAUAGUGACUUGAAAUCAAAGGUGGAUGUUAUGUUAUUGAAGUUUGAUAAGUACUGGGAUGGAAUGAGAAAUAUCAAUGUUUUCCUGAUUGUUGCAAGUGUGUUUGAUCCACUGAAAAAAAUGCAAUUUGCUAAGAUGUGCUUUGACAAGCUUUAUGGGAAAGAUACAUCCGAUUCUAAGGAGAUGAGUGAUAGGAUCACCACUUUUUUGACAUCUCUGUUUAAGGAGUAUAGCAGUCGGUUUCAGAAAGUAUCAAGUGGUCAGUCAUCACAGUCCACUCAGACAUCGACUUCUACUAGCCAAGGUGAGUCUACUGAUUUAAUGUCUGAUAGUAUGGGUUAUGAGAGAAUGGACUUUGCUUAUAAGGAGUUAGUUGAUGAGAUUGGGGUUGACGAUGGUAGGGAUGAGUUGGAUGUCUAUUUGAAUGAAAAAGUGGAAAAUCCUAGAACUAUUGUUGGAUCAGAGUGGGAUGUAUUGUCUUGGUGGAGGCUUAAUAGUGGUAGGUAUCCAGUUUUAUCAGAGAUAGCUAGGGAAGUUCUUGCAAUGCAGGUUUCAUCAGUUGCAUCUUAAAGUGCAUUUAGUACUAGUGGGAGGGUCAUAGAGCCACACAGAAGCUGCUUAACGCAUUAUAUGGUGGAAGCUUUGAUAUGCAUGCAGCAAUGAUGAAGAACGAGAAUCACUUUGGUGAGAAAGCAAUUGUUUCAAAUACACAAUUGCUUGCUGACAUUGAACUGCUUGAUAAACUUGAAAAAGAGUUUGAAUGUCAAGACUUAAACUAGAAGCUUGCAUAAACACAUCACUCGGAUGUAAGGAGCAUGAAGAAGUUGAAGUAUGGGACUAAGAAGAAGCUUGAGGAGGUCGUUGUUGGUGGCUUGCAUUGGAGGUUGUUAUU